rnacentral:rRNA from 1 species
AUGGACCCCGACUUCCGGUUCGACCCGGACGGCUCCGACGACGAGGCGCCGGCGGGGGCCGCCGUGCGGCGCAAGCCCGCGCAGUCGCCGUGGGAGUUCUCCACGUACGCCGAGUCCGUGGCGGCGGAGCACGCGGCGCGCCGCACCACCUCCAUCGACGAGAAGAUCUCCCAGGCUCUCCGGGGCCGGCGCAACCCCUCCAUGCCCGAUGGCUCCGAGGACGAGGAGGAGGAGGAUGCUGAUGACGACAGCGACGAGGAGGCGGCGGUGAAGGGGGAGAGCGGGGACGAUGAGGACGAGAUCGAGGAGAGCGGCGACGACGACGAAGAGAUCGAGUCGAGCGGCGGGGAGGAGGACGGUGAAGUGGAAGCUGGCGAGCAAGGCGAAGGGGAAGAGGCGGGGGGAGAAGAAGAAGAAGAAGAGGCUGUGCAAGAGGAAGACGAUGCGCCCGAGCAGCCGGAUCCGUCUCAAUUCUUUGCGUCAUCGGAAGGAGCUUCUUUUAGUGCAAGGUCGUUUCUUGAGCUCAACUUAUCGCGUCCACUCAUUCGAGCCUGUGAAGCACUGGGCUACCAGAAGCCAACACCAAUUCAGGCCGCAUGCAUCCCUCUGGCAUUAACAGGGAGGGAUAUAUGCGGCAGUGCCAUCACAGGAUCAGGGAAGACGGCUGCUUUCUCUCUGCCUGUGCUGGAGCGUCUGCUUUUCCGGCCGAAGCGCGUGCCUGCAAUCAGGGUGCUUAUUCUCACCCCAACCAGAGAGCUUGCUGCGCAGGUCCAUAGCAUGAUUGAGAAAUUGGCCCAGUUUACUGAUAUCAGGUGCUGUCUCAUAGUUGGUGGGCUUCCAACCAAGGCACAGGAGGUGGCUUUAAGGUCGAAUCCUGACAUUGUUGUUGCCACUCCUGGGCGUAUAGUGGAUCAUCUGCGCAACUCCCUUUCUGUCGGGCUUGAAGAUCUUGCAGUUCUGAUCCUUGAUGAAGCUGACCGUUUGCUAGAAUUGGGUUUCAGUGUUGAAAUUGGUGAGCUCAUUCGCAUGUGUCCUAAAAGGAGGCAGACCAUGCUCUUUUCUGCCACAAUGACAGAGCAAAUCGACGAGCUUGUGAAACUUUCUCUGAACAAGCCAGUCCGUCUUGAAGCUGAUCCUUCGCUGAAACGCCCUGCAACAUUGACUGAAGAGGUGGUUAGAAUACGGCGAUCACGUGAAGCAACUCAAGAAGCUGUUCUGCUUGCUCUCUGUUUGAAGACCUUCAAGGAAAGAGUGAUCAUUUUUAGUGGGACAAAGCAUUCUGCUCACAGAUUGAAGAUACUGUUUGGUCUGUCUGGGAUAAAAGCUGCUGAGCUUCAUGGCAACCUUACACAGGCACAGCGGCUUGAGGCUUUAGAACAAUUCAAAAAGCAAGAAGCGGACAUCCUGAUUGCAACUGAUAUUGCAGCUCGUGGUAUUGACAUUGUUGGUGUUAGAACUGUCAUAAAUUUUGCCUGCCCACGUGAUGUCAAAACUUACCUUCAUCGUGUUGGCCGUACUGCAAGGGCUGGCAGGGAAGGAUAUGCCGUGACAUUUGUUACUGAUGAUGAUAGAUCCCUGUUGAAAGCUAUUGCAAAGAAGGCUGGUUCUCAGCUGAAAAGCCGCAUUGUUGCCGAGAAACCUGUGUCUGACUGUGCAAAAUUAAUUGAGCAACUGGAGCAUCAAAUCUCUAACAUAAUUCUGGAAGAAAGGGAGGAAAUGGCAUUGAGAAAGGCUGAAAUGGAAGCUACAAAGGCAGAAAAUAUGAUAGCUCACAGGGAUGAGAUAUACUCACGCCCCAAGAGAACCUGGUUUGCUACUGAGAAGGAAAAGAAACUGUUGGCAAAGGCUGCUAAAGAAUCCUUGGAUCAAGUUAAAGGUGGCUCUGUAGUUGUUAGUGCUCAGCAAGCUGAAGAUCUUCGUCUGAAGGAGAAAAGAAGAAGAGAGCGUGAGAAAAAUCUACCUAGGAAGAAGCGCAGAAAGUUGGAGGCACAGCGGGAAAUGCUAGAGGAGGAGAAGGAAGAGGAGGAAGCUCAGGAAAGCAAAGGAGGGAAGAAAGCAAAGAGUAGCCAAUCUGUAGUUGAUGUCGCUUAUCGCAGGGCAAAAUCAAUGAAGGCGACGGGCAAAAUCGGCGUUCGUGCUAGCAAAGGAAAGAAUGAGAAAGGGUCAAAACAGCCUGCUGAAAAGGGCCAGACUAGGCAAGAGGAAAUGCAUGAACUGUUCCAGAAUGAUAUGAGUGAAUGGAAGCAGGGCCGUUCCCUGAAGAAAAAGGACAGCUCGUUUGCAAAGAAAUCUAAGAAUGCCUUCAAGAGCAAAUCAAGGUACAAGCGACGUAAGUAG